rnacentral:rRNA from 1 species
AUUGAACGCUGGCGGCAGGCCUAACACAUGCAAGUCGAACGAGUGGCGGACGGGUGAGUAAUGUCUGGGAAACUGCCUGAUGGAGGGGGAUAACUACUGGAAACGGUAGCUAAUACCGCAUACCAUCAGAUGUGCCCAGAUGGGAUUAACUUGUUGGUGGGGUAACGGCUCACCAAGGCGACGAUCCCUAGCUGUUCUGAGAGGAUGACCAAGCACACUGUGACUGAGACACGGUCCAGAAUCAUACGGGAGGCAGCAGUGGGGAAUAUUGCACAAUGGGGGCAAGCCUGAUGCAGCCAUGCCGGGUGUAUGAAGAAGGGCUUCGGGUUGUAAAGUACUUUCAGCGGGGAGGCAUUACCCGCAGAAGAAGCACCGGCUAGCUCCGUGCGAGCAGCCGCGGUAAUAG